AUUGAACGCUGGCGGCAGGCCUAACACAUGCAAGUCGAGCGGUAGAGAGGAGCUUGCUUCUCUUGAGAGCGGCGGACGGGUGAGUAAUGCCUAGGAAUCUGCCUAGUGGUGGGGGAUAACGUUCGGAAACGGACGCUAAUACCGCAUACGUCCUACGGGAGAAAGCGGGGGACCUUCGGGCCUCGCGCCAUUAGAUGAGCCUAGGUCGGAUUAGCUAGUUGGUGAGGUAACGGCUCACCAAGGCGACGAUCCGUAACUGGUCUGAGAGGAUGAUCAGUCACACUGGAACUGAGACACGGUCCAGACUCCUACGGGAGGCAGCAGUGGGGAAUAUUGGACAAUGGGCGAAAGCCUGAUCCAGCCAUGCCGCGUGUGUGAAGAAGGUCUUCGGAUUGUAAAGC
rnacentral:rRNA from 1 species